UGCUGGGAGGCGCGGUGCAGAGAAGUGCUUGCCUGCCUCAAGGAGCCCUGCUCCCAUAUGAGCCACUGCGGGACAGGAACAGCCUCUCAAAUGCUGCAGCAGAGCAGCUGUACGCCUUUGUGGUGCUGCCUGUUCCUCUCUGUCCCAAGCCCGGGGGGGGCCUUAGGAGAAGAGAGGCAGGCGGCUUUAAUGGAGGGAAUGCUGGGGCAGCUGGGAGAGAGACUGUUCUUGCAGACACUCUCCCCAGAAGCCUGCAGCAACUUGGGAGCGAGGGAAGAGGCAGAGGGCAAGGGAACUUUGGCUUCUCCUGUUCUCCAACAGUUCCUGAGGGCGUCGCUGGACACCAUCAGUGAUGAGGCCUGGAUCGAGGCCCUGAGCUGCGAGCUGAGCCGGUGGCUGAGCAGUUCUCCCAGCAGCUCUGGAGAAAAGGCUUUCCUGUACAAGACUCUGGGGACAGCACUGGGAGCUUGUAAGGGAGUCCUCCAUGUCCAAGAGAAGCUGCUGCAGCACUUGGAGGAAGCAAAUGCGGAGGAGCCAUCGGAGACCCAGGCAAGGACCGGCCCGGUCACCGUGGUUGGCCGCACCAGUAGGUUCAGGCCUGCGCCAACUGCUCUUUUGUGCAGGGAAUAAUUUCUCUUCUCAGCCAUGCUGCUGAGGGCAACUUCCACCCAGUCCUGGACACACUCACCGUGUUUGCAUCCAGGCUGUGCAAAGGCUGGAAUGCGAGGAUUUCCAGGCGCAAGAAGGUGAAGUGUUACGGGUUUCUAUCUUGGCAUUCUUCUGCCUUAUUUUCACAGCAGCUCCUGCCUUGGGAGCCCAGGUGCAUCGCGGGGCACUGGGGGCCGUGGAGCAAGUGACUCAAGGCAUUUCUCCCCACACAGAUGGACCUGGACAGCAUGAGAGCUCAUGCCACACGCAGCGCUCUCAUGCUCGCUCAUGGCAGCUUGGCACUGCGUGCCUCCAAGGAACAGCUGCUUGUCCACCUGGAGGGAGACAUCGUGGGCAACAUCCUGAUGCUCUACAGCUGCAGCUGCCAGGUGAGAACUUGAAGUGUGCCAGGGUGUCUGAGCACCCGAUGCAGCCCCUCCAAAUGGGGGGAUGCUGAGAUGGGCCUUCUCUUUUCAAAGGUCCCUUGGGGGAUCAUCUGUGCCAAGAUGAAGAUCCAAGCUUUCCCUUAGCAUUGCCCACGUGUCCCCCUUGCAGCCCUCGGCCCUUCCCGCAAUUCAGAGAAUGUUCUUCUCUCUUGGGCCUCAGGACUUGCAGAACAACCUUGCGCUGGUACAGAGCAUCACCAGCUUCAGCUCAGCCUUGCAAGCUGUGGAUGACUCUGCCUGCUUUAACUCUUCCUUCAAGGGCAAGCUUCUGGAGAUCCUGAUGGACUUGCUGAAGAAGUACUACUCAGGAAUCCCUGUCUCCCCAGUGCCCCUCAAGUUGGUUCUGGCCCUGGAGCAGUUGAGGUAAGGUCUAGGGUUGCAAGGCAGGAUAGUGGUCCCCAUUUUGGAUAGCUGCCAAAGGCCUGGAGGGGGUGGGGGGGGAGGAGCUGUAUCUACAGGAGAGAUAGCUGGGCUGUUGUGCCCAGAAAAGCUGAGAUUCUGGGCAGGGAGAAAGGCCCUGGUGCUUCUGUUCCCUUGUAGGGAAGAGAAGGGAGAUAUGGGGUCUCCUUCCCUUCAGAGCAGGAGUAGUUCACUGCUUUCUCCUUUUUUCCUCCUGUCAGCAAGCUGAAGCCCUCUUUAGAAAGCAAGGAUACGCGUGAAAUAUUGGUUCUGUGCUGCAAGAACAUUGUGAUGCACCCUUCGGCAGAGAUGAUGCUGAAGAUCAGAAAGUCACAGCAAGCAGCUCAGUACCUGCAGCUUCAGCAAACAUCACUGAAAUCUUUGGGCCAGCUUAUGGCAGUUCUGCUCAAGACAGAGCCCACCCGUGGCUUUUUCCAGAACACAGUCCAUGUCCUGCAGAGAUCUAUGACAUCAGACAAUGUGUGGGAGCGCAAGAGGGCCCUGCAGACCUGCUCCCAGCUGCUGACUGUUUGUGAAGAGUUUCAAAUGAGUAAAGAGCCCCACCACGUGCCCUCUGCUCCCUCCCCUGUGCCCCUGAGCUGGAAGGCGAGCUCCACUCAGCUGUGCAUGCUGUGUCACAGUGUGGGGAAGGCACAGGCAGGAGAAGCUGGGGCCACCUACAGCUUUGUUCCUGCCUCUCACCCCUGCAGAGAGGAGAUGCCUAGGAGCACUUUGGCUCCUUGGUGGGAUUGCUGGCACCUCUGACCUGUGACCCCAUGCCCACAUCCCACCAGUUGGCUGUCACCUGCCUCAGCUCCCUUCUCUGAAUCCAAGAUCAUGUGCAGAAACUUCCCUCUAGAACGCACCGUUGAUUUCAUGAUGGCCAUCAAGGAGACCUUCAGGAGAGCCAAAGGAGUGCGUGUGCGUGCUGCUGGGAAGUGGAUGACCACCUUUCUGCAGAUGUACAGAAAAGACAUCUGUUGGGAUGUGUCUCCAAUCCUCUACAUCCUGCACAGCUACACAUCAUCUGUGCAGCAGAGUACAUCCAUGCCCUUCCUGUGCCAGGCAGUGGUCAUCCUCACAAACUGUCACACAGAGGUCAUGAUUGACAACUUCUUCCAGCUGCAUGGGCCCACAGACAGGGAGACAUGGAGGAGAAUAAGAGAGUCUUCACUUCAACGAUAGAGCUGGAGGCAAGGAGGGGAAAAGCAAGGCAAGGAUCACUAGACUUCCUGAGGAGUCUAUUCCUACAGUCCAGUCCUGAGAGCCAUCCCAUCGUGUCUCAGUGAUGCUAAUGACAUCAUAGCCCUGUAGGUAUAUGCAUGCCUGCAACUCCUCUUGCUUGUUCCCCUUGCUUCAUGCAUUAGUAUGCAGACAUUUGAGUUGAGCUCCCACUAUGGCUGAUUUACCAACUUGAAUUCCCUUAUCCUGCACGUUAGGUGCUGUCUAAUGGCCUGUGUGACUUAGUAUGUACAACUUAGAGUACUCAAACUACAAAAAAUAUUCUAAUCCUAGUCUUUGCUACAGUAAGCCUUUCAAAGGUGUGAGAUAGAAUAAC